UACGGAGGGGGCUAGCGUUGUUCGGAAUUACUGGGCGUAAAGCGCACGUAGGCGGCUUUGUAAGUUAGAGGUGAAAGCCCGGGGCUCAACUCCGGAAUUGACCUUUAACGAUACUGCAUCGCUAGAAUUGUGGAGAGGUAAGUGGAAUUCCGAGUGUAGAGGUGAAAUUCGUAGAUAUUCGGAAGAACACCAGUGGCGAAGGCGGCCUGCUGGGCAGUUUAGCUGACACUGAGGCGCGACAGCGUGGGGAGCAAACAGG
rnacentral:rRNA from 1 species